rnacentral:lncRNA from 1 species
ACACCUGAAGCUUAGCCAAACAGCUGUUUUAACAGCAAUAAAAAACAAUGAUUAGCCACCUCCAAGCUUAAUGGUUUUAGAUGGGGAUCCCCUACCCCAGGAAAUACAUAAAAGGAUUGUUAUUUGUGCAUGUGUUUGUGCAACUGUUCUUUUUGAUGACAUUCUCACUGACAGAAAGCGUUUGAUUUAUGAGUUUAGGAAGAAUUGCAUCCAGC